rnacentral:rRNA from 1 species
GAAUCCCGUCUUUGACACGGACUGCCUGUACAUUAUGGUGUGCUCUCGAAGAGUCGAGUUGUUUGGGAAUGCAGCUCAAAAUGGGUGGUAAAUGCCAUCUAAAGCUAAAUAUUGGCGAGAGACCGAUAGCGAACAAGUACCGUGAGGGAAAGAUGAAAAGAACUUUGGAAAGAGAGUUAAACAGUACGUGAAAUUGCUGAAAGGGAAACGCUUGAAGUCAGUCGCGUUGGCUAGAAAUCAACCUUGCUUUUGCUUUGUGUACUUUCUGGUUGACGGGUCAGCAUCAAUUUUGACCACUGGAUAAAGUCUUUGGGAAUGUGGCAUCUUUGGAUGUGUUAUAGCCCAUUGUCGCAUACGGUGGUUGGGAUUGAGGAACUCAGCACGCCGCAAGGCCGGGUUUCGACCACGUUCGUGCUUAGGAUGCUGGCAUAAUGGCUUUAAUCGACCCGUCUUGAAACACGGACCAAGGAGUCUAACAUGCCUGCGAGUGUUUGGGUGGAAAAACCCAUGCGCGCAAUGAAAGUGAAAGUUGAGAUCCUCUUCAAAGGGGGAGCAUUGACGCCCGGACCAGACCUUUUGUGACGGAUCCGCGGUAGAGCAUGCAUGUUGGGACCCGAAAGAUGGUGAACUAUGCCUGAAUAGGGUGAAGCCAGAGGAAACUCUGGUGGAGGCUCGUAGCGAUUCUGACGUGCAAAUCGAUCGUCAAAUUUGGGUAUAGGGGCGAAAGACUAAUCGAACCAUCUAGUAGCUGGUUCCUGCC